CUCUCGGAUUCCCCAAGGGGCAAGACCCCGGAGGCGGAAGCGGAGCCCGAGGAAGGACGAGGUGAAGGAGGAGGACGAGGGCGGCAGGGCCGGGCGCGCGGGCUGCCCCCGGCCUGGCGGGCGCGCGGGCGGCGGCUCAAGGAGCGCCCCAGCGCCCCGGGGAGCAGCCCCAGCUCGCUCACGUCCCGGACCGGGGCUUCGCGCCGGAGCCCGGCCGCCUCCCGCCAGUUUGUGUGCGGCGCGGGGGCCGGGGCCGGGCGCGCCGGGGUCGGAGGGAACCGCCAGCGGCCCGGCUAGGCCGACGCGCAGCGCGGGCAGGGGGCUCCGGGGGCGCGCCCAGGAGAGGCGGGGCCCGGAGCCAGGAGCGCCCAGACGACAAUCCUUCGUAAAUAAAGCCCAGUCUCUUUUUGAGGUUGGCAAGUCCCAGCCCCAUGAUGGCAGGGCCGAGGCCUUGGGACCCUGGGGGCCUGCAGCUCCGAGAAGGGAAAGAGCAAAGGGCCCCACGCGGGGGUGGGGGUGGACCGUUCUUCAGCCCCUCAACCCUCCGAAGCUCUGCGCUCUGCCGAGGACUCACAGCCCAAAGCAAAGCUUGUGGGCUCCCCACUUAGCAAAUGGUAAGAUGGGAGCAAAAGCUGUUUGCCCGCGUGGGGCUGCAACCAAACCCGCCUGGCCUCCUUCCUCCGCCUGAGUGAGGGGAGAGGGGCCUUGGCCUCCAGGACCCCGGACCCUGCCCCUGCCCCUGCCCCACCCGCUGCUAGCAGGAGGGCAGCUGUGCCGGGGGCAAAUGGGGAAGUACAGAUGGGCAAGGUGGGGCUCCCUGCAGGUGGCUGAGACGGGGGCUCGCAGGGGAAGGGCAGCGAGGGCGCAGGAACCGCGGGAAGAAGGCUGAGCAGGGCUGUGGCCUCAGGGGGUCCAGUGAGCUCUGUAGCAAGAGCAGCCCCACAAACCCAGUGGCGCUUUUGAGGCCUAUUAAUCACUGCGAGCUGCCCAGGGUUGGGGGGUGGGUGCCUUCCCCAGCAGGGCAGCCCCCUGUUGAUGGAGGGUCCCUGCUGUGAGCUGUUAGCAAGCCCCCCGGAAGGAGCUGGGGGUCGGUGUGCGGCGGGAACAGGGCCCCGCCCAGGUGCCAUCCCAGCAGCUCUGAUAAUUCACUGAGAUUUGUUGUUUCCCAGGGCAUACUUAAUUUUGUAAAUGCCCCGUGCAUGCUUGAAAAGUGUAUUACAGCAAUGUGCCUAAAAAUAAAAACACAAAUAAGGGAGAAAGGACAGCUCUUCCUCCAGAAGGAUGGCCACUGACAACACAGGAGGAGUGGGGGGUGUGGGAAACCCCAGCGCAAGCCGGUCGUGAGUGCUGCAGCCGGACCUGCGAUCGGGAGCGGAAUUAUGGAUGGAUAUUUGAGAAACAGGAUAUCUGCAUAGUCUCAAAGCCUCUCCCUCAAGAUAUUUAUUAAUUGCAGAGGUAAAAUGAUACCUUUACAGCGGGAUACCCAGCAGGCACCACACCCUUUUCACCAAGUUGUCAAGGCCACAGGAACUCAUCGUGAGACACUCGGACGUCGCAUCCCCUGCCACGAUGUGCUGGAAAGACCCACUGCUUCUGGGGCGUGCUCGUUACAAUGCAUGACCAUCUACCCAUGAGAGGACUUCAGACAAACCCGGACUGAGGGACAUCAUCUAAAGUAAUUGAGCGGUACUCUUCAGAAUGCCGAGGCUCUACGAGCCUCAGAAGGACCGAGGACUGUCACACGCUAUCACACGACAGCCCAGUAUUCCGGACUGGAUCCUCCAACAGGAAAAGGCUGUCAGUGGACAAAGUGGCAACAUUCAAAUAACGUGUCUGUAGUUGAGCUAACGUGGUCACACCCAUGUUAAUCAGUUUGUUAAUGGUACUCGUGGUUACGCAAAAUACUGACAGUGGAGGAAGCUGGGUGAAGAAUGUAUGGAGACUGCACUACUUUUGCCAAUCCCCUGUAAGCCCCAGCUCCUUCAAAAUAAAACUUUGAAUAAAUGCUCAGUUUAAGAACUUACAGUAACCACUGCUCAGGUUGAGAAAUGGGACAUUAUUAUCACUCGUGUGUCUUCCUUCCGAAUCACAACUUCUGACUUCUCAUACAGGGCUCACUUCAGGGGUACUAAACAUUCACACUGUUGAACGACGACCGUCCCCGUCCGCCUCCCGAACGCUUCAUCCUGCAAAACUGAAACUCCAUCCCCAUCGAACACGAACUCCCCGUUCCUCCUGCCCCAGCCCUGGCGGCCACCACCUGCUUUCUGUCUCUGCGGGUCUGACGAUUCUGAGUGCCUCAUAGCAUCAUAUAGUGUUUGUCUUUAUUGUGACUGGUUAUUUCACUCAGUGUAAUGUCCUCGAAGCUCAUCCAUGUUGUAGCACGUGGUGGAAUUUCCUUCCUUCUCAAGGCUGAGCAAUAUCCCAUGGCUCCUCUUGACUGUGACAGUUCCUCAGACGUUCCUUGUUUCUGAUGACCUUGACAGUUCUGAGGAGUGCGCAGAUGGGGUAUGCAUGGUGUUGUCCUCGUGCUUAGACGGGGGUCGUGCAUUUGGGGAAGAAGAGAACAGAGGUCAAAUGCUGUUUUUAUCACAUCAUCUCGAGUACAUGCUUUCAACCUGAUUUAUUGUUGACCUUGCCCCCAGGCUGAGGUCGUGUCCCCUCUCUAAAGUCACCCCCGCCCCCCGCCCCCUUUCCAGACUCUGGAAGGGAAGCCUGUGCAGCCCACACCUGAGGGGUGGGGAGUUAUGCUAUGCCUCCUUUAGGCAGAAUAUUGACAUAAGUUGUUUAGAAUUUUUCUGCACACAUCUGUCUUUUUUCACCCAUGUUUUAUUCACUUAUUUAUUCGUAUCAGUAGCUUCAUGGGCAUGUACUUUACACUCUGGGUUAUAAUUCUACGCCACACUAUUUGUUGGUCACGUUGUUCCAGCUUUGGCCAUUGGGAGGUCCUUCAGGGGCUCCUGUGUCCCUCAUGCCAUGGCCCAGUCACUGUGGGUCUUCCCUUCCUACGGGAGGCUCCUCCCUCCUCUAGCACAACUCCUGUCCCGGCAUCAGCCGCUCCUCCAAGGAGCCCUGGGUGCCUUCACUGGAGAAUAGAGUUAGAGACCAAGGCCUGGGCACCAGGUGCGCAUGAAGCCACCAACUGCCCCGAGGGCCCCCUCUCCACGGGGAGCAAGGACGGACGUGUGCUAACUCGGGCAUCUACAGAUAUUUCCAUCUGCAUCUGAAUUAAGCUAAACACGAGUUCAUGCUGAUGUCUCCACCUCAAAUCCAUUAGGACGUGGGUCAUUCUAGCCUCAUCCCCUCGCUUGUCUAUAACUCCGGCUCCCACAGUGAGAACCACGCUCCCCUGGGGACCCACCAUUUACUUAGUUGUUCAGUUCUAGCUCCGUCUAUUGUGGUAUCAGGAUUGUUAACAAGACAUCCAUGGGACACGUCCCAGCCAGAGCACAGCGCUAGGUUUCCUUUGUCUUUGCUUUUACAAAUUCCACUCAUUUCCGAGUAGCCUGAGUCCGCAUCUAUGCCUCCUCCGUGAGGUGAUUGCAUACAUUUAUAAUAGACUUAGAUCCUCUGGUUACAUUCUACCUCCCGUCCCGGGGUCCUCUGACUUCCCAGAUGGCAUGUGUGUUUCCAGUUUGCAUACCCUAGGGUUUCCUCUGCUGGAAAGUUCUAUGGGUUUUGGCAAGUGCACGGUGUCACAGAUCCACCAGGGCAGGAUCGUGCACGAUCGCUUCCCCAUCCUGAAAAAUCUCCUGGACUUUUUUUUUUUUUUUGUCUUGCUUUUGAGUCCUCACUUUAUUUUUCUCCCUCUAGUUGUUUGGUGGGUACACAUUGUGCUUAUUUGCUGGGUGGGAAAACUUCCAUCCUGGGGGCGCCUGGUGGCUCAGUCGGUGAAGUGUCUGCCUUCGGCUCAGGUCAUGAUCCUGGGGUCCUGGGAUCGAGCCCUGUGUCGGGCUCCCUGCUCAGCGGGGAGUCUGCUUCUCCCUCUCCCUCUGCCCACUCUCCACUUGGUCUUUCUGCCAUCGUGCCACAUCUCGUUUGGUAGUUCCUGGUCUCUGCUGAAACUUCCAAGUUGAGUCUUUAGCUUGAAAUGCUAAGCAGCCAUUUUCGUCUCUGUCUGUAAUUCCAGCCGACGGAAUUGCCGUGGGUCCAUCCAUUGUCCCUCGUUCCUGCUUGGUCUUGCGGGCAGUGCCUUAUCUUGUCGGUGCUUCAUUCACUUUUACUGUGGUUGACGUUAUGUUCCUGGAGAUUUCUGCUGCUUCUACCUAGCAUCUGGAGACGCCAGCCAUCUGGGAUCGUCUUAUUCCAGGUCUGAGGCUUGAGAACUUCCGGGCCACCCAGAAUGGUGCUCCACUGCAGAAUCCGUGACUGGUUUGUUCCCAAUUCAUCCUUCAGGGCCCUGGACCAAGUGCUGGAUCUUUACCAGCAUCCUCAGACCCCCUUCCUGUCCCCCUAGCUCCAGUCCUUCCAGGCUCUCCAAGCACAACUCAGCCCCUUGGCCAUGUUUUCCUGGACAGAAGCCCUGGGUCUGAGGCAGCGUUUCGGGCCUUCCCACCCCCUUGCACUCCGCACCUGUCUUGUUGGCCCUUUGAUGCUUUUCCGGUAUUUUCUGUUUUUCACCCAGCUUUUAAAACUCGUAGUGAGGGGCGCCUGGGUGGCGUCUGCCUUCGGCUCAGGUCAUGGUCCCAGGGUCCUGGGAUAGAGCCCCACAUCGGGCUCCCUGCUCAGCGGGGAGCCUGCUUCUCCCUCUGCCACUCCCCCUGCUUUUGUGCUCUCUCAAAUAAAUAAAUAAAAUCUUGAAAAAAAGAAGUGUAGUGAAAGUGCUGGUGUGGGACGUCCAGUCCACGUUACCCGAAGUGGGGCCUCUCACUGACGGCUCCAUCCUGUUGCACGGUGGCCUCGUCUGUAACCUCAUGCACGGGACAACCCAUCACUAGACUUCCCUCAGUUCACACGAGCCGUGGGACGCGCCGGCCAGGCUUGGUCUUGGAGCU